rnacentral:tRNA from 1 species
GCCUGAGUGGCUCAGUGGUUGAGCAUCUGCCUUUGGCUCAGGGCAUGAUCCCAGGUAUUGGGAUCGAGUCCCACAUCAGGCU